UACGUAGGGGGCAAGCGUUGUCCGGAAUUAUUGGGCGUAAAGCGCGUGUAGGCGGCUUGGCAAGUCGGUUGUGAAAGCCCGGGGCCCAACCCCGGAACUGCAUCUGAAACUGCCUGGCUAGAGUCCCGGAGAGGAAGGCAGAAUUCCCGGUGUAGGGGUGAAAUCCGUAGAUAUCGGGAGGAAUACCAGCGGCGAAGGCGGCCUUCUGGACGGUGACUGACGCUGAGACGCGAAAGCGUGGGGAGCAAACAGG
rnacentral:rRNA from 1 species